GACGAACGCUGGCGGCGUGCUUAACACAUGCAAGUCGAACGGAAAGGCCCUGCUUUUGUGGGGUGCUCGAGUGGCGAACGGGUGUGUAACACGUGAGUAACCUGCCCUUGACUUUGGGAUAACUUCAGGAAACUGGGGCUAAUACCGGAUAGGAGCUCCUGCUGCAUGGUGGGGGUUGGAAAGUUUCGGCGGUUGGGGAUGGACUCGCGGCUUAUCAGCUUGUAGGUGGGGUAGUGGCUUACCAAGGCUUUGACGGGUAGCCGGCCUGAGAGGGUGACCGGCCAAAUUGGGACUGAGAUACGGCCGAGACUCCUACGGGAGGCAGCAGUGGGGAAUAUUGCACAAUGGGCGGAAGCCUGAUGCAGCCACGCCGCGUGCGGGAUGACGGACUUCGGGUUGUAAACCGCUUUCGCCUGUGACGAAGCGUGAGUAACGGUAAUGGGUAAAGAAGCACCGGCUAACUACGUG
rnacentral:rRNA from 1 species